AUGGUUUGAAAUUGAAUUUCAUCUUCAAUGGCACCACCACUAGUCGAAUGAGGAGCCCUAGCUGGUUGAGGUUGAUUUAAAUCUGGUCUGAUCAACCCAGCUGUUGGCAUAGUUGGUCGGUAUGCAGUUUGAUGAUCUGGUUGAGGUUGAAGAAGUUGAUAUGAAGAGGACGGAACAUACGGAUAAUUAUGAAAAUAUUGUUGUUGCUGAAACAUUGGUGGCUGUUGCUGUUGCUGGAAGGCAGAGUUCGGAGGAUCCUGGUGUUGCUGUUGGAAAUUUGGAGGCGGUUGCUGCUGCUGGGAGUAUUGAGAGUAAUUUUGUUGCUGCUGGAAUAGUGGUUGUUGAGGCAAGUAUUGAGGCCGAGGCGGGAACUGCU
rnacentral:lncRNA from 1 species